CAAAGUUUUGGUCCUAAACUUACCUUUGUUUCUUAUCAAAAUUACACAUGCAAGCCUCUACACACCAGUGAAAAUGCCCAUUAAAAACCUAAACAGCCCCACGGAGCAGGUAUCAGGUUCAACCCAAUUAGCCAACGACACCUUGCUACGCCACCCCCCCACGGGCACUCAGCAGUGAUUAACAUUAAAACAUGAGCGAAAGCUUGAUUUGGUUAUGAUAAAUCAAGGCCGGUAAAUUUCGUGCCAGCCACCGCGGUUAUACGAAAGGCCUAAAACAAAGACCUUCGGCGUAAAGUGUGACCGCGGACUAGCCAACAACCAUAAAGAAAAACACUAACAAAGCCGUAAAACGCCAACAACAGUAAGAACAACAAAAUCUUUAUGCAUGGGGCCACCCAACCUCACGAAAACUAGGGAACAAACUGGGAUUAGAUACCCCACUAUGCCUAGCCAUAAACACAGACAGUACAAACACAAUACUGUUCGCCAGAGAACUACAAGCAAAACCUCGAAACUCCAAGGACUUGGCGGUGCUCCAUACCAACCUAGAGGAGCCUGUCCUAUAAUCGAUACUCCACGUUAAACCCCACCAUCCUUUGCCCUCAGCCUAUAUACCGCCGUCGAAAGCCUACCUUAUGAAAGCAGCGUAGUAGGCAAAACAGUUAACAACUAACACGUCAGGUCAAGGUGUAGCACAUGAGAUGGAAGAGAUGGGCUACAUUUUCUACCACAGAGCACACGAACGACUCAGUGAAACCUGCACCCAAAGGAGGAUUUAGCAGUAAGAUGGGUAACAAACCCCACCUAAACCGCUCUGGAGCGCGCUCACACCGCCGUCACCCUCAUCAC
rnacentral:ncRNA from 1 species